CGCGGCGGCCGCCGGGGCGCGGGUCGUCGCGGUCGACCUCUCGCCCGGGGCGCUGGACCUGGCCCGGACGUUCGGCGCGGCCCGGUGCGUC
rnacentral:tRNA from 1 species